GACGAACGCUGGCGGCGUGCUUAACACAUGCAAGUCGAACGGAAAGGCCCUGCUUUUGUGGGGUGCUCGAGUGGCGAACGGGUGAGUAACACGUGAGUGACCUGCCCUUGACUUUGGGAUAACUUCAGGAAACUGGGGAUAAUACCGGAUAGGAGCUCCUGCUGCAUGGUGGGGGUUGGAAAGUUUCGGCGGUUGGGGAUGGACGCGCGGCUUAUCAGCUUGUUGGUGGGGUAGUGGCUUACCAAGGCUUUGACGGGUACCCGGCCUGAGAGGGUGACCGGCCACAUUGGGACUGAGAUACGGCCCAGACGCCAACGGGGGACAGCAGUCGGAAAUAUGACACAAUGGGCGGGAGCCUGAUGCAGCAACGCCGCGUGCGGGAUGACGGCCUUCGGGUUGUAAACCGCUUUCGCCUGUGACGAAGCGUGAGUGACGGUAAUGGGUAAAGAAGCACCGGCUAACUACGUG
rnacentral:rRNA from 1 species